rnacentral:tRNA from 1 species
GGGCUGCUAGCUCAGCUAGGUAGAGCGCCUGGCUUUUAACCAGGUGGUCGCGAGUUCAAAUCUCGCGCAGCCCGCCA